CGAUCAGUCGGAUAGAAAUCGUUUUUAUGCGUCAGUAGUACGAUAUUCUGAGUUGAUCCUCCGUGGUCUACGGAGAUAUGCACAUCAUGCAUGAAGUCAACUACAUUGUCAGGCGGGGAGUUUGACUAAGGAGGUGCAUCUGUCAAAUCGUUACGCAGGUGUCCCAAGGUGAGCUCAGUCGGGACAGAAACCUGGCGUGGCGUAGAAGGGUGAAAGCUCACUCGAUUUUGAUUUUUAGUACGAAUACAGACCAUAAAUGCAUGGCCUAUUAGUCCUUUUGAUUAAAUCAUAUUCUGAGUUACCACAAAGAUAACUGGCUUGUGGUGGCCAAGCGUUUAUAGCGACGCCGCUUUUUGAUCCUUCGAUGUCGGCUCUUCCUAUCAUUGUAAAGUUGAUUUUGCCAAGUGUUGGAUUGUUCACCCACUAAUAGGGAAUGCGAGCUGGGUUUGAACCGUCGUGAAGCAGGUUAGUUUUACCCUACGAGCUGGUCGUUGCUAUGGUAAUCCAAUUCAGUACGAGAGGAACCGCAGGUUUAUGUGCCUGGUCGACCGGCCACUGGUGAGAAGCCACCUCUGAGGGAAUUAAGACUGAACGCCUCUAAGUCUGAAUCCCAUCCAAAGGUGCAACGAUACCCUG
rnacentral:ncRNA from 1 species